rnacentral:lncRNA from 1 species
GGGAAGGCCAUUUCCCAAAGAUCUCACAGCAGAAACCAGGACCACCGGUGAGGAGGUGAGGAGGGAAUGAUAGCAGAAGACAUCAUGUUAGGUCCGCGCUAUUGUGUUUUGGAAAGGUGGUAACAUAAGAGAGAGAUAAGAUAUAAAGAGAGAAAAAGAAAGAAGAAAAGGUGCAUUGGAGGUGGAGGCACGGAGUAAGAGGACCAGAUGUGGAGCAGAGCAAAGUCGUGUAGCAGUGGGCAUGGAGUACAAAGGAGGCAAUCGCAGACCUGCAUCUGGUGGCCCCCAGGGAGGUGGUGGUGGUGUACUUUGAAGCUACCAAAGGCAAACAACAGCGGGGGAACCUUGCCAGCUGCUCAAGCAGCAGCGGUUGCAGUUGUCACGUUGCUCUCCCCAGGACACUGAGUCAGGAUGAGGUAGGUAUCAAAGGGGCAGAGUCAGGUCCCCCUCCUCGCUUCUCAGCUCACAUGUGGAGCGCUGGUAAGGCCUAAAGGUGGGCGGCGCGGUUGACUACUGGGGGCUGGCCUAGCAUUCAGCAUUGGAAAGGCAGCCAAAAACAGCAGGCUGGGGGAAGGGUUUGGAAAAGGAGGCACAUCUUCAGCUGACUGUCUGCUUGCAAGGCAAAAUCAAACUGUUUUAAAUCACAGCAUUUAACAGAAAGUGAAUGAUCUUAGUAAGACACCAGGCACAGAUUUUAGUCUUUGGAGCAAGGAUGCACUUUCUAGGUGUAGUACUGCAAGGUCAAUCGGAAAUCUUAUUAAAAAGCCAAGUCUGAUAAAAGGUAGUAAAAAUGUUGUGAUAGAACAUGUCUUUUAAUGGCCCAUCAAAAUAUUAGCAUUCAGUAUUACAACAUUAGCCUUUUACAAAGGAAUGUCCUAUUGUUUCUGGAGAAGAUCUGGAAGCUCUCUCUGAAUUGGGCUGAGAUUUAAUAAUGAAGGUAAUGCUGCUUCUUAGGUCACAGUGUGGCCACUGCAGUGAAAAGCUGUUGGUUAAGAAAGGAGGAGGUUGUCUGACUGCUGCAAGAAGGUCUGACCACGCACUACUCACUUGAUGACUAGUGUAUUAAUAUCUCCCUCCCAGAAAAUAGCCCCUGCUUUGUUGCAGGGCUGUCCUUCAUUAGCAUUGCAGUAAUGAAAAGUAUGAUUGAUACUGUGUG